ensembl:snRNA U6 U6 spliceosomal RNA
UUGCUUCGGCAGCAUAUAUACUAAAAUUGGAACGGUACAGAGAAGAUUAGCACGGCCCCUGUGCAAGGAUGACACGCAAAUUCGUGAAGCGUUCCAUAUUUUU